rnacentral:rRNA from 2 species
UGAGGAAUAUUGGUCAAUGGGCGGGAGCCUGAACCAGCCAAGUCGCGUGAAGGAAGAAGGAUCUAUGGUUCGUAAACUUCUUUUGCAGGGGAAUAAAGUGCAGGACGUGUCCUGUUUUGUAUGUACCCUGAGAAUAAGGAUCGGCUAACUCCGUGCCAGCAGCCGCGGUAAUACGGAGGAUCCGAGCGUUAUCCGGAUUUAUUGGGUUUAAAGGGUGCGUAGGUGGUUUGAUAAGUCAGCGGUGAAAGUUUGCAGCUUAACUGUAAAAAUGCCGUUGAAACUGUCGGACUUGAGUGUAAAUGAGGUAGGCGGAAUGCGUGGUGUAGCGGUGAAAUGCAUAGAUAUCACGCAGAACUCCGAUUGCGAAGGCAGCUUACUAAGCUACAACUGACACUGAAGCACGAAAGCGUGGGGAUCAAACAGG